UCGCCUGUUUAUCAAAAACAUCGCCUCUUGCUAAUAAAAGAUGUAUUAGAGGUCCCGCCUGCCCUGUGACCACAGCGUUUAACGGCCGCGGUAUUCUGACCGUGCGAAGGUAGCGUAAUCACUUGUCUUUUAAAUGAAGACCUGUAUGAAAGGCAUCACGAGGGUUUAACUGUCUCCUUCCCCCAGUCAAUGAAAUUGAUCUGCCCGUGCAGAAGCGGGCAUAAAAACAUAAGACGAGAAGACCCUGUGGAGCUUUAGGCCAAGAAUCAACCAUGUAAUAUAGAUUGACCCUCACAAGACCAAUAAAAAUCUUUAAGCCAAGUGUAAUAUGGUUCAAGUGCCUUCGGUUGGGGCGACCGCGAGGGAAAACAAAGCCCCCGCAUGGAACGGAGACAUCUCCUAAACCAAGAAAGACAGCUCAAAGCAACAGAACAUCUGACCAAAAAUGACCCAGGACAAUAAACCUGAUCAAUGAACCAAGUUACCCCAGGGAUAACAGCGCAAUCCUUUCCCAGAGCCCCUAUCGACGAAAGGGUUUACGACCUCGAUGUUGGAUCAGGACAUCCUAACGGUGCAGCCGCUGUUAAGGGUUCGUUUGUUCAACGAUUAAUAGUCCUACGUGAUCUGAGUUCAGACCGG
rnacentral:rRNA from 1 species